rnacentral:rRNA from 1 species
GAUGAACGCUGGCGGCGUGCCUAAUACAUGCAAGUCGAGCGAAUGGAUUAAGAGCUUGCUCUUAUGAAGUUAGCGGCGGACGGGUGAGUAACACGUGGGUAACCUGCCCAUAAGACUGGGAUAACUCCGGGAAACCGGGGCUAAUACCGGAUAAUAUUUUGAACUGCAUGGUUCAAAAUUGAAAGGCGGCUUCGGCUGUCACUUAUGGAUGGAACCGCCUCGCAUUAGCGAGUUGGUGAGGUAACGGCUCACCAAGGCAACGAUGCGUAGCCGACCUGAGAGGGUGAUCGGCCACACUGGGACUGAGACACGGCCCAGACUCCUACGGGAGGCAGCAGUAGGGAAUCUUCCGCAAUGGACGAAAGUCUGACGGAGCAACGCCGCGUGAGUGAUGAAGGCUUUCGGGUCGUAAAACUCUGUUGUUAGGGAAGAACAAGUGCUAGUUGAAUAAGCUGGCACCUUGACGGUACCUAACCAGAAAGCCACGGCUAACUACGUGCCAGCCGCCGCCGUAA